rnacentral:rRNA from 1 species
CCUACGGGAGGCAGCAGUGGGGAAUUUUCCGCAAUGGGCGAAAGCCUGACGGAGCAAUACCGCGUGAGGGAAGAAAGCCUACUGGGUUGUAAACCUCUUUUUUCAGGGAGGAAAAAAAUGACGUGUACCUGAAGAAUAAGCAUCGGCUAACUCCGUGCCAGCAGCCGCGGUAAGACGGAGGAUGCAAGUGUUAUCCGGAAUUACUGGGCGUAAAGCGUCUGUAGGUGGUUUAAUAAGUCAACUGUUAAAUCUUGAGGCUUAACUUCAAAACAGCAGUCGAAACUAUUAGACUAGAGUAUAGUAGGGGUAAAGGGAAUUUCCAGUGGAGCGGUGAAAUGCGUAGAUAUUGGAAAGAACACCGAUGGCGAAAGCACUUUACUGGGCUAUUACUAACACUCAGAGAUGAAAGCUAGGGUAGCAAAUGGGAUUAGAUACCCCAGUAGUCCUAGCUGUAAACAAUGGAUACUAGAUGUUGAACAGAUCGACCUGUGCAGUAUUAAAGCUAACGCGUUAAGUAUCCCGCCUGGGAAGUAUGCUCGCAAGAGUGAAAACUCAAAUGAAUUGACGG